GACGAACGCUGGCGGCGUGCCUAAUACAUGCAAGUAGAACGCUGAAGGAGGAGCUUGCUUCUCUGGAUGAGUUGCGAACGGGUGAGUAACGCGUAGGUAACCUGCCUGGUAGCGGGGGAUAACUAUUGGAAACGAUAGCUAAUACCGCAUAGGAGUAGAUGUUGCAUGACAUUUGCUUAAAAGGUGCAAUUGCAUCACUACCAGAUGGACCUGCGUUGUAUUAGCUAGUUGGUGGGGUAACGGCCCACCAAGGCGACGAUACAUAGCCGACCUGAGAGGGUGAUCGGCCACACUGGGACUGAGACACGGCCCAGACUCCUACGGGAGGCAGCAGUAGGGAAUCUUCGGCAAUGGACGGAAGUCUGACCGAGCAACGCCGCGUGAGUGAAGAAGGGUUUCGGAUCGUAAAGCUCUGUUGUAAGAGAAGAACGAGUGUGAGAGUGGAAAGUUCACACUGUGACGGUAUCUUACCAGAAAGGGACGGCUAACUACGUG
rnacentral:rRNA from 1 species